rnacentral:tRNA from 1 species
AGCUGGUGUGGCUCAGCUGGUAGAGCAGUUCAUUCGUAAUGAACGGGUCGUCGGUUCAAAUCCGACCACUAGCUA